AGCUUGCUCCCUGAUGUUAGCGGCGGACGGGUGAGUAACACGUGGGUAACCUGCCUGUAAGACUGGGAUAACUCCGGGAAACCGGGGCUAAUACCGGAUGCUUGUUUGAACCGCAUGGUUCAAACAUAAAAGGUGGCUUCGGCUACCACUUACAGAUGGACCCGCGGCGCAUUAGCUAGUUGGUGAGGUAAUGGCUCACCAAGGCAACGAUGCGUAGCCGACCUGAGAGGGUGAUCGGCCACACUGGGACUGAGACACGGCCCAGACUCCUACGGGAGGCAGCAGUAGGGAAUCUUCCGCAAUGGACGAAAGUCUGACGGAGCAACGCCGCGUGAGUGAUGAAGGUUUUCGGAUCGUAAAGCUCUGUUGUUAGGGAAGAACAAGUACCGUUCGAAUAGGGCGGUACCUUGACGGUACCUAACCAGAAAGCCACGGCUAACUACGUGCCAGCAGCCGCGGUAAUACGUAGGUGGCAAGCGUUGUCCGGAAUUAUUGGGCGUAAAGGGCUCGCAGGCGGUUCCUUAAGUCUGAUGUGAAAGCCCCCGGCUCAACCGGGGAGGGUCAUUGGAAACUGGGGAACUUGAGUGCAGAAGAGGAGAGUGGAAUUCCACGUGUAGCGGUGAAAUGCGUAGAGAUGUGGAGGAACACCAGUGGCGAAGGCGACUCUCUGGUCUGUAACUGACGCUGAGGAGCG
rnacentral:rRNA from 1 species